CAGGAUUAGAUACCCUGGUAGUCCACGCCGUAAACGAUGUUCACUCGUUGUUCGCGAUACAUUGCGAGCGACCAAGAGAAAUCGAUAAGUGAUCCACCUGGGGAGUACGGCGGCAACGCUGAAACUCAAAGGAAUUGACGGGGACCCGCACAAGCGGUGGAUGAUGUGGUUUAAUUCGAUGCAACGCGAAAAACCUUACCUACCCUUGACAUGUCAAGAAUCCUGCAGAGAUGUGGGAGUGCUCGAAAGAGAACUUGAACACAGGUGCUGCAUGGCCGUCGUCAGCUCGUGUCGUGAGAUGUUGGGUUAAGUCCCGCAACGAGCGCAACCCUUGUCAUUAGUUGCUACGAAAGGGCACUCUAAUGAGACUGCCGGUGACAAACCGGAGGAAGGUGGGGAUGACGUCAGGUCCUCAUGGCUCUUAUGGGCUGGGCCACACACGUGCUACAAUGGCA
rnacentral:rRNA from 1 species